rnacentral:rRNA from 1 species
AGCGAACGCUGGCGGCAGGCUUAACACAUGCCAGUCGAGCGGGCAUCUUCGGAUGUCAGCGGCAGACGGGUGAGUAACACGUGGGAACGUACCCUUCGGUUCGGAACAACUCUGGGAAACUGGAGCUAAUACCGGAUACGCCCUUAUGGGGAAAGGUUUACUGCCGAAGGAUCGGCCCGCGUCUGAUUAGCUAGUUGGUGGGGUAACGGCCUACCAAGGCGACGAUCAGUAGCUGGUCUGAGAGGAUGAUCAGCCACACUGGGACUGAGACACGGCCCAGGCUCCUACGGGAGGCAGCAGUGGGGAAUAUUGGACAAUGGGCGCAAGCCUGAUCCAGCCAUGCCGCGUGAGUGAUGAAGGCCUUAGGGUUGUAAAGCUCUUUUGUCCGGGACGAUAAUGACGGUACCGGAAGAAUAAGCCCCGGCUAACUUCGUG